rnacentral:lncRNA from 1 species
AUAGUGGAAAUGAGUGAGUUGCCACUUCGUGAUUAUUCCUUUUUCGUAGGCCGUCCUCCAUGCUCUUCUCGUGUGGGAACUCGUCGGUAAGGGACGUGUCAGCCUUUCACUUAUUUAUCGUGAAUUAAAUUCCAUCUGUUUGAUUUUCAAGAUGGAGAGCUCAGCUUGUAUGACCAAAAGAUGUUGCAAGGAAGUUGAUGUUUGCAAAGAAGUUGGGUGAUUAAUCCAGCACCAUGAAUCAAGGUUCCUUGCGAAACGAAGAAGAGUUGAAGAUGGAGCUGAAAAUAUGGAUUGGCAAAUUUAUGACCUAUAUGUGGAGCCUCUUUAAACCAGGAUGAUUCUGAAGCAUGAGGCCCAUGUUGUCUUUGGAGUCCCUGUUGUGACGGUUGCCUUGGAAAUGAUCCAUGCAACAGAAUUUGCAGUUGAUUGAGAAAGGCAUAUUUACAAUAGACAAGAUGUAUGAAGACAUUAUUCCGUGCAAGGCCUUCUAGACAAUACACAUUCUGGAAGUGUGGAAGACAAAUGCAGGAGUAGCUCAUCAUUCAAAGCUAUGCAACUGAAAAACACAGGCAAUGCAGCCAGUACUUAAUAUCAACUGGGACCAGUUUGCAGAGCGUCUUCAUACAGUAACUUCUAGAGAAAAUAGUUGUGAUGGAUGGAGAACCUUCAAUUGAAUCCCCAAAGGUACUUCCUAAGAGACAAAAUCUGAUUCAGCUGAAUUUCACCGCAGCUGACAGACUUCAAUUGAUGCUUUUAAGGUCUAAUGUUGGCUGUGGAUAAUAUCAGUCACUCAGCAGGAAUUAUGUAAUUGAUCGGACAUGCUGCUUACCAGUAAAGCGGUCAGCAAUCCUCAGUUACCAUGAAGUAUUUGAUUAUAAGUGGAAAGUCUGGAUUACUGCAUAAGUGGAAAGUCUGGAUUACUGCAAGGCAUCCUGAAUGUGAAUGAAAAAUUGUAUGGUUGAAGGUUGAAGGGCAACUACAGCAAAGACUUCAUGCCUCUACAAUACAAUGGAGGACCAGAUUUCUGACUCUCUUUAGACUCUAGAGAAAAAGCUUGUACGAGACUCUUUGGAGGUGAAUCUUGAUGACAGUUCCUGAGGGAAGAAAUCUCCAUUAUAUGGGUUUUUCAACAUUAGUCUGAAUUUUGCUAGAGUAUGCUGUGACCUGGAUUGAUCUAGAAGUGGAACAGCUGAUCAUCUGAGAGUUGCCAAGCACCAUAACUGCAUUGAAUUUCACACCCUAGUAAUUAUUGAUGUACAGAAAUUACUCUGAAUUUCAAUAAAGUAUUAAGAGUA